rnacentral:rRNA from 1 species
UCAGGAUGAACGCUGGCGGCGUGCUUAACACAUGCAAGUCGAACGGAGUUAUCCCGCUGACGAGACUUCGGUCAAAUCUUGGGAUAACUUAGUGGCGGACGGGUGAGUAACGCGUGGGUAACCUGCCAUAUACAGGGGGAUAACAGUCAGAAAUGACUGCUAAUACCGCAUAAGCGCACAGUGCUGCAUGGCACAGUGUGAAAAACUCCGGUGGUAUAUGAUGGACCCGCGUCUGAUUAGCUAGUUGGUGAGGUAACGGCCCACCAAGGCGACGAUCAGUAGCCGGCCUGAGAGGGUGAACGGCCACAUUGGGACUGAGACACGGCCCAAACUCCUACGGGAGGCAGCAGUGGGGAAUAUUGGACAAUGGGGGAAACCCUGAUCCAGCGACGCCGCGUGAGUGAAGAAGUAUUUCGGUAUGUAAAGCUCUAUCAGCAGGGAAGAAAAUGACGGUACCUGACUAAGAAGCCCCGGCUAACUACGUGCCAGCAGCCGCGGUAAUACGUAGGGGGCAAGCGUUAUCCGGAUUUACUGGGUGUAAAGGGAGCGUAGACGGUAAUGCAAGUCUGAAGUGAAAUGCGGGGGCUCAACCCCUGAACUGCUUUGGAAACUGUAUAACUGGAGUGCAGGAGAGGUAAGUGGAAUUCCUAGUGUAGCGGUGAAAUGCGUAGAUAUUAGGAGGAACACCAGUGGCGAAGGCGGCUUACUGGACUGUAACUGACGUUGAGGCUCGAAAGCGUGGGGAGCAAACAGGAUUAGAUACCCUGGUAGUCCACGCCGUAAACGAUGAUUACUAGGUGUUGGUGAGUAUGGACUCAUCGGUGCCGCAGCAAACGCAAUAAGUAAUCCACCUGGGGAGUACGUUCGCAAGAAUGAARCUCAAAGGAAUUGACGGGGACCCGCACAAGCGGUGGAGCAUGUGGUUUAAUUCGAAGCAACGCGAAGAACCUUACCAAGUCUUGACAUCUGGAUGACCGGAACUUAACCGUUCCCUCUCUUCGGAGCAUCCAAGACAGGUGGUGCAUGGUUGUCGUCAGCUCGUGUCGUGAGAUGUUGGGUUAAGUCCCGCAACGAGCGCAACCCUUAUCUUUAGUAGCCAGCAUUAACGGUGGGCACUCUAGAGAGACUGCCGGGGAUAACCCGGAGGAAGGUGGGGAUGACGUCAAAUCAUCAUGCCCCUUAUGAUUUGGGCUACACACGUGCUACAAUGGCGUUAAACAAAGGGAAGCAGCCCUGUGAAGGUGAGCAAAUCCCAAAAAUAACGUCCCAGUUCGGAUUGUAGUCUGCAACUCGACUACAUGAAGCUGGAAUCGCUAGUAAUCGCGGAUCAGAAUGCCGCGGUGAAUACGUUCCCGGGUCUUGUACACACCGCCCGUCACACCAUGGGAGUCGGAAAUGCCCGAAGUCUGUGACCUAACCGCAAGGAAGGAGCAGCCGAAGG